rnacentral:rRNA from 1 species
UACAGAGGUCCCAAGCGUUGUUCGGAUUCACUGGGCGUAAAGGGCGCGUAGGUGGUCAGGUAAGUCGGAUGUGAAAUCUCCGAGCUCAACUCGGAAACUGCAUUGGAAACUACCUGGCUCGAGGGUUGGAGGGGGGACUGGAAUGCUUGGUGUAGCAGUGAAAUGCGUAGAUAUCAAGCGGAACACCAGUGGCGAAGGCGAGUCCCUGGACAACUCCUGACACUGAUGCACGAAAGCUAGGGGAGCAAACAGG